UACAGAGGGUGCAAGCGUUAAUCGGAUUUACUGGGCGUAAAGCGCGCGUAGGUGGCCAAUUAAGUCAAAUGUGAAAUCCCCGAGCUUAACUUGGGAAUUGCAUUCGAUACUGGUUGGCUAGAGUAUGGGAGAGGAUGGUAGAAUUCCAGGUGUAGCGGUGAAAUGCGUAGAGAUCUGGAGGAAUACCGAUGGCGAAGGCAGCCAUCUGGCCAAAUACUGACACUGAGGUGCGAAAGCAUGGGGAGCAAACAGG
rnacentral:rRNA from 1 species